rnacentral:lncRNA from 1 species
GUAGUGGGGAACUGGCUGACGAGGCUGCUGUGUGCGGCCAGGUGAUCCCCCGUGGUGGUCUGGUGGGCAGAGGUGUGAGGUGGAGAGAAGCAGGUAGGACUGAGAGCAGGGUGAGUGUGGCAUGGCCACCCUGGCCUGAGGUUUCACCUCCCAGAAAGCCCCCUCCUGGAAGCAUUUGGCGAGUGUCAGGCCCAGUUCCCUUUGGACCCAGGCCACUUCAGGCCUCCUGGGUCUGACAGGGAAAUCCUUGGGGCCUUGAAGCUUCUCUCAUCUAGGGGCCGAGAUUCGGGAUAGCAAAAGGCACCACUGAACACCCCCAGAAUCCCACAACAGCAGAAGGGACCUGCCCUGCCUGCCACCCUCCUUCACCAGGCUCCAAUUCCCACGCAGCCUCCCACCCCCACCCCACAGCUGCUGCUGUGCCCCACCCCCAGGUUCCUAACCUGGACGACCCUCUGCCCACAGAGCCCCCAUUAUUCUAAUGACCAGUUAGACAGGAAGAGAAUGUUCCAAGUGGCUGCUAGAGGCCAAAGCUUUGGGACAGAAGAAGAGGAAUGCAUCGCCCUCCCGCCCUCCACUUCCUCCCUGCACCCUCCUGCGGGGGCAGCAGUCAGAGCUGUCACAAGAUGGAGGUGGAGGAAUGAGCCAUGUUCCCAGCCUGCCAGAUUCCUCACCCCGAAUGCAAACGCACCUCCUAUGUGCUUUCCUGGGAGCUGCGCUGGCCUGCCCCGGGGGGACUCUGUCUGACUUCACCAUGAGCUCCUUUUCCUCACCCCGUCCUUCAACUUCAUCCUAUGUCAGCUGCAGACAGGCUGAGGUUUGAAUUUGGCUCUGUUUACUGGGGUGUCCCAGGGCAUGUGACUUUCCUGCCCUGAGUCUCUGUCUCCGUCUUUAUGUGUGGACCCCCGAAGUGUCCUCUUCACCAUGUUCCUCAGUCUGGGAUUUGAGGCUCUGCCUGCCCUGUCCGCUUGAUCACUCUGCUUCAGCCUCCCUUCUGCCCCUUGAACAUACCAGGCUCCUCCCCACCCCAGGGCCUUGGCUUUUGCUAUUCUUGCCCCUGCAUUACCUGCCACGAUGUGCCAGGCCUCCUCCUCCAGGAAGCCCUCGCUGACUCCCAUCCCAUAGCAGUCCUCCUUCUCCUGCACUCUGCCUACCUGGCCUUAUCAUGCUGCAAAAUUGGCCAGAGGGCAGACAUCUCCCACUCAGAGAGUUGAAGGAAAGAGUCUCAGGAUUCAUCCCCUCAAAACAUCCACCAUCUGUAGGUCUGGCUCUAUGUCUUUGUUCAUGUCCUGUGGCUCUGGAGACACCAAGGGGGAAAGACCCAGUUUCCCAACUUGCUUCCUGCAUGAUCCUGGGCAAGCCACUCGGCUUCUCUGAAUCAUUAGUUGUUUUUCCAACUUUUCUAGGCCUGGCUCUUUUUAUUUAUGUUUGUGUUUUUUAUUAUUAUCUUAGAGACAAGGUCUUGUUCUGUCGCCCAGGCUAGAGUGCAGUGGCGUGAUCAUAGCUCACUGCAGCCUCCACCUCCCAGAUUGAAGUGAUCCUCCUGCCUCAGCCUCCUGGGUCACCGGGAUUACAGGUGUCCACCACCACGCCCAGCCUAGUCUGACCAAUUGUGUAGGUCACCCGAAUAUUCAGUUUUGCUCCGAGAGGUGGAGACGGACCCCAGUCAUUCAGUGAAGUGGAU